CAGCAGCCACGGGAAUACGAAGGGUGCAAGCGUUACUCGGAAUUACUGGGCGUAAAGCGUGCGUAGGUGGUGGUUUAAGUCCGUUGUGAAAGCCCUGGGCUCAACCUGGGAAUUGCAGUGGAUACUGGGUCACUAGAGUGUGGUAGAGGAUAGUGGAAUUUCCGGUGUAGCAGUGAAAUGCGUAGAGAUCGGAAGGAACAUCUGUGGCGAAGGCGACUAUCUGGGCCAACACUGACACUGAGGCACGAAAGCGUGGGGAGCAAACAGGAUUAGAUACCCGUGUAGUCCCUGUCUCUUAUAA
rnacentral:rRNA from 1 species